rnacentral:ncRNA from 17 species
ACGAGAUGCCCGGGUGCCAUGUGCUUGCUGUACGUGGCUGAGACGGCUGUUUGGCCGAACCGUAGAACCUGAUCUGGGUAAUACCAGCGAUAGGAAGACUUCAUACUGUGACU